CAACGGGCAUGACGUCACCUGGAGGACGGGAAAGCUGCAGCGUGAGGCGAGGAGCGAGGGCAGGGAGGGGGCGCGGGGAGAAUCCCGGGAGCAGCUGCUGCUGUCAGCCAGCGCGAGCGCUGCCCCGCCCCUGCCCGGGGAAUUCCACCUUCCCUGCAGUGCAACACAGCCCGGGCGCGGCGCGGCGAGCCGGGCUGCAAGAGCUGCUCAGGCAGGUGGAUGACUGAAGCAGCAGAGAACCUUGGUGUCUGAAGAAUGGCUACAGUGUUGCUUUAGUGGUGGGAGAGCAUUGCAGUUGUUGGUGUGACCCAGGAGCAGUCGAACCGUGGAUGAAGCUGAGUUUAAGCUGUUAUGCAGGCGCCCCCUGGGCUUCUCCAUCAGCCAGUCCUGCUCCUGCCUGCCGCAAGCUGGAGAGGAGCCACAGCUGCUGCUGAGUGCGAGGCAGGGGUGAAGCGCCAAGCCCAGCCGCCUUCCACAGCCUGGCCGGAGGAGGAGGGAGGAGAGAAAUGUGACAAAAAUGGAUGGCACACAGAACACCAAAAGCAGUACAAAGAAUGCAGUUCCUGUUUUAGGCAAUUGCAAGGUCACCAAGUUGUCAAAGAGACACACAGUGCCCUGA